AGCGAACGCUGGCGGCAGGCUUAACACAUGCAAGUCGAGCGGGCAUCUUCGGAUGUCAGCGGCAGACGGGUGAGUAACACGUGGGAACGUACCCUUCGGUUCGGAACAACUCUGGGAAACUGGGGCUAAUACCGGAUAGGAGCUCCUGCUGCAUGGUUGGGGUUGGAAAGUUUCGGCGGUUGGGGAUGGACUCGCGGCUUAUCAGCUUGUUGGUGUGGUAGUGGCUCAGCAAGGCGUUGACGGGGAUCCGGACUGAGAUGGUGACUGGCCACCUUGGGACUGGAGUGCGGCCCGGACUCCAACGGUAGGCAACGGUGGGGAAUAUAGCACAAUGGGCGGAGGGCUGGUGCAGCACCGCCGCGUGGGGGAUGACGUGCUUGGGGUUGUAUAGCGCUUUCGCCUGGGACGAAACGUGAGUGACGGUAACGGGUAAAGAAGCACCGGCUAACUACGUG
rnacentral:rRNA from 1 species